UAAUGGUUGAGUUUGGUGAUGGCUCUGAUUGAAUGCUGUUCAAGUGCUUGACACAUGCUAAUCGUACGUUUUAAUUUCUAACAUUAAGUAACUACUAUACUAAAGGUUAUUAAUUAAAAAGUGGUGUACAGGUGAGUAUAAAGAUAUAAUUCGCCGGCCUUAAAGAGAAGGUAAAUCCUUCAUAAUAAAUAAAAGGGUACAGUUCCUGCUUUAAGAGGAUGAUAAAUAUCUUCGGGAUAGGUAGUAGUUAAGGUGAUGACUUAACUAGCCGACAACUCUCGUAGUCGAAUCUGAAAGGUUGAUCGACCACAUUGGGUCUGAAAAAACCCCAAUGCAAAUUAGUACAGCAGUGAGGAAUUUUGGUCAAUGGCCUAACGGCUGAACUGGCAACUUGGAGAAGUGGCAAGUCCUAUUUUGAUCAUAUCCUAAAAGAUGAUCUAUAGGAUUGUAUUAAAAUUGAAUAAAGCUUUGUUUAUAUAUUGAUAAUGACAGUAUAUAUAUCGUGUCUUGACUAAUUACGUGCCAGCAGUCGCGGAAAUACGUAAGAGACUAGUAUUAUUCAUCUUAAUUGGGUUUAAAGGGUACCUAGACGGUCAAUAUAGCUUAUAUAAUGUUAGUACUUGACUAGAGUUUUAUAUGAGAGGGGAGUACUUGAGGAGGAGAGAUGAAAUUCUUUGAUACCAAAGGGACUCGGUAAAGGCGAAGGCACCCCUUUAGGUAAAAACUGACGUUGAGGGACGAAGGCACAGAGAACAAACAGGAUUAGAUACCCAAGUAGUCUUUGCAGUAAAUGAUGAAUGCCAUAGAUUAGAUGAAGAAUGGUCUAUAAAUGAAAGUGUAAGCAUUCCACCUCAAGAGUAAUGUGGCAACGCAGGAACUGAAAUCACUAGACCGUUUCUGACAACAGUAGUGCAGUAUGUGCUGUUUAAUUCGAUAAUACACGAAAAACCUUACCACAAUUUGUAUAAUAAUAUUACAGGAGUUGCACGGCUGUUUUCAGUUAAUGUUGUGAAACUAUGGUUUCCAUGUAAUUAACGAAAUCCCUGGCUUUAUUUUUGGAUGCGCUAGUCCCUCCGGGACCAGCAAGCUCUUAAUUUUUACUUAUUUUAGUUAUGAGGCGCAUGAAAGCGCUCUCAGAAUAAAAAAAGAGCUUGCGCCCUAAAAAAGAUUUUUAGGGCUCGCUACUACGAUAAGGCAUUAGAUCCUGGAUAUUUGGAUAGAAAAAGGGGACAAAGACAAGUCAUCAUGGCCUUUAUAUUGUGGGCUAUAAACGUGCUACAUCUUCCUAGACAAAGAGAUGCAAAAAUGUGAAUUUAAGCUAAUCUCAAAAAAUAGGAUAAAAAUUUUAAGGAUUGUAGUCUGAAAUUCGACUACAUGAAUAAGUAAUUACUAGUAAUCGUGAAUCACCAUGUCACGGUGAAUUACUCUCGGAUUGGUACUAACCACUCGUCACAUGCUGAAAAGAGCUUAUGCAAUAAGUUUGCUUUCUUAGUAAUUAGUAAAAAAAACAUGUAGGUUUUGUGUAGAUAUGUUAUCUAUGAACAGCACCAAAGCUGUCUAUUAUUGGGAAUCUUCGUAUGCGCGGUUCUAAUUAGUGUUAAGUCGAAAUACGGUUCGUGUAGUGGAAGUUGCACGGGAUUAAUUAACAUAA
rnacentral:rRNA from 1 species